rnacentral:rRNA from 1 species
UCCCGGUUUAAGCGUGUAGGUGUGUGUUCCAGGUAAAUCCGGUUCACUUUAACACUGAGGCGUGAUGACGAGGCACUACGGUGCUGAAGCAACAAAUGCCCUGCUUCCAGGAAAAGCCUCUAAGCAUCAGGUAACAUCAAAUCGUACCCCAAACCGACACAGGUGGUCAGGUAGAGAAUACCAAGGCGCUUGAGAGAACUCGGGUGAAGGAACUAGGCAAAAUGGUGCCGUAACUUCGGGAGAAGGCACGCUGACACGUAGGUGAAGUGAUUUACUCAUGGAGCUGAAGUCAGUCGAAG